GAGACAGCAGUCGCCGCGGGAAUACGAAGGGGGCUAGCGUUGUUCGGAAUUACUGGGCGUAAAGCGCACGUAGGCGGAUAUUUAAGUCAGGGGUGAAAUCCCGCAGCUCAACUGCGGAACUGCCUUUGAUACUGGGUAUCUUGAGUAUGGAAGAGGUUAGUGGAAUUGCGAGUGUAGAGGUGAAAUUCGUAGAUAUUCGCAGGAACACCAGUGGCGAAGGCGGCUAACUGGUCCAUAACUGACGCUGAGGUGCGAAAGCGUGGGGAGCAAACAGGAUUAGAUACCCCUGUAGUCCCUGUCUCUUAUAC
rnacentral:rRNA from 1 species